AGACAGAUGAAUCCUAACGAACUUAGAACGCAAAAGAACUAACACAAUUUGGGGGUGUAGCUCAGCUGGGAGAGCGCCUGCCUUGCACGCAGGAGGUCCAUCGGUUCGAUCCCGUUCACCUCCACCAAUAUAUGUGUGAUCUGUGAAGAGUGUGAGUAUAGAUAAGAUAUUUGAACGUAGGAUGAUCGGAAGAUUGGACUGCGUUAGAUGGAUGACAGAGUAAAGACGAAUACAAUAAACAAUCUAGUUUAACAUUAUAGUGUUAAGUUAGGCUGACGAAAGUUAGGCUAAUAAAACACAAACGCGAAACUAAAUUCAAUUUAACAGAAGCUCUUAAGAGUAAUUCUUGGGAGCGUCGAGUCAAACUUGUUUUAGGGAUGUUGAGUUAGAACUAGGCGAGUUCAAGAGAGGCGACGCAAUGUAUGAAUAAUACAUGAGGAGCCAAACGAAGAACUCAACGACGUAAAUAACUCAAGAGACCAAAACAAGGAUAUCAAGCGUCAAAAGGGCAUCUGGUGGAUGCCUAGGCACAAAGAGGCGAUGAAGGACGUGCUAA
rnacentral:tRNA from 1 species